UUAGCAAAUGCAACAAGUAAGUAAAAAACAUUUUAAUUGGAAUGGUACAAAGAAGAUAAGCAUGGCCCUUGCACAAGGAUGACAUGCAAAUUCAUGAAGCAUUCCAUUUCAAA
ensembl:snRNA U6 U6 spliceosomal RNA